rnacentral:rRNA from 1 species
GCCAGCAGCCGCGGUAAGACGGAGGGCGCAAGCGUUGUUCGGAAUUACUGGGCGUAAAGCGCGGGCAGGUGGUCUGUUAAGUCGUUUGUGAAAACCCGGGGCUCAACCCCGCGGAAUGCAGACGAUACUGGCAGACUGGAGAUCGGUAGAGGCUAGCGGAAUUCCAGGUGUAGCGGUGGAAUGCGUAGAUAUCUGGAAGAACACCUGUGGCGAAGGCGGCUAGCUGGCUGUUGAUUGACGCUGAGGCACGAAAGCGUGGGUAGCAAACAGGAUUAGAUA